GCCGCAGCGGGCGCGUCGGAGGGAGCCCAGCAUGGCCGGGCCGGGCUCGCAGCGCCGCGCGUCCCGGGGGGCCUCGGCGCUCCUCGCCGCUGCGCUUCUCUACGCCGCGCUGGGCGACGUGGUGCGCUCGGAGCAGCAGAUACCGCUCUCCGUGGUGAAGCUCUGGGCCUCAGCUUUUGGUGGGGAGAUAAAAUCCAUAGCUGCUAAGUACUCCGGCUCCCAGCUUCUGCAAAAGGGAGGAACCUGAGAGCAUCUCCAGAGAGAAUGUUACUGCCUUGGUCGCUGGCAGAAGCAUGGGAAAACCACCUGACCUUGAUGAUUUUAUCCAUCCAUUCAUUCAGCAAACAUUUUUGCAUCUUGGUACUCUGUCCAGAUAUCAUGCCCACUCAGAUUAUAAGGACAAGCAAAGUAAGAUUGCACCCUCAUGGAGAUUACAAUCUAAUGUGAGAAUUGGUCAUAUCUCAAAGAAUUAAACUAAUGCAUGCAAGUCUCCUUGCAAUGCCAUGAAAGAAGGAAUGCUGAUAGCUCAUGACCUGAGGACCUGCUCUGGUCUGGGGUCAGAGGAGGCUUGCCAAGAGCAUGGCAUGAUCCUCUACUGUGACCAGAAGGAUGAGGAAUUAAUAUGACAGAAAGGUGGAAGAUGGGUAUCUGGACCCUUUGUGAUGCUUUCUUUCCUGUCCUGGCCCACCCUCACCCUGACUGCUCCUCCUCAUGUGAGUUCUGGGACUUAUCGUGUACAUUCUUCUUGGCCUUUCAUUCUCUUGCUUCUUCUGCCCCAAACUCCCUCCCUUGUCCCUAUAGCAGCUUGUUGAAUUCUCAGUCUUCCUGGCCUGAUUCUUUAGUUCAGCAAAGAGCUUUUCAGCUCCUGCUAUGCCAGGGGCUCAGUGCUGGGCUCUCAGUUGCUACUGCCUUCAGGAAGCCUUUUCCAACCUCCUCCGCGUUGUACGUCACUUUAUUCAUUAUAGGUGACCUUGAUUUGUAGUUACUGUCGUACUAUUGUUGGGCCCUUUCCUCAGCUCCACAAGUGUUGGGAGGCUCUUUUCCCAUCUUCGUUUUCUUUGUGUCUCCUUAGGGUAAAGCCUGAUGAUGGCAGAGGUGGUGAUGAUGAUGAUGAUACACUACUACUUGUUGAACAUUUAACAUAAGACCUAACAGCAUUCAGGAUUCCUAAGACAUACUACUUCACUAAAUCCUCACAACCCUGUGAGCAAGCUACGGUAUUACCAUCCAUAUUUAACUGAUGAAGAAGCUGAGGCAUGGAAUAUGUUAAUGAACUUUCCCAAAGCUACUUGGCUAGGAAGCGAUAGAGCCAGGAUUCCAUGCUGAGCAUUUUGACUCCAACCACUGUACUAUACUUCCUUUCUUUCAUGGCCUGCCUUUGUGGAGUUGUAUCUGUGAAAAUGGUCGUGCUAGUUAGUGACAGGUAUGAGAUAUCUCUCUCCCUGAGCCUGCACAAGUACAACAACCCCGAGUGAUAAGGAGUCACUAGCUAACGCUGGUCCUCCAAGUACAGUGAAAGCAGGCUGUGAGUAGGUUUCUUUGCUCCAGAAUAGGUUCCCAUCACAGGAACUAGGUAGCAAGGCUGAGGCACCCACUGGUUAUGCCAGCAACAACUGCUUGGUUCUGGCCAAAGUCUUUUGUCCUAGUUGCUUUUCUUCCCAGGAUUGAAGAAGCCUAGGAAUUGUCAUACAUGUGGCUUCCUCUCAACAGAAAUGCUGAGUUCAUUUUUCCAAGUGUGGAUUCUUUGUGUGAUGGCACGAGCUUCAGAAGUGCCAGAGACAAGAAUUUCCUUGUGUUCAUGUAUAAAUGCUGGGUGACCGCUGGGAAUAAAUAAUAACUAUGAUCAAUGUGGAGCUUUUAAAAUUAUAAAGCAUUGCCAAUUCACUAUGGAAAAUUUUGGAAAUAUAGAUAAGU